rnacentral:rRNA from 1 species
GACGAGCCACACGAACGUUAUUCGGAAUUACUGGGCUUAAAGGGUGCGUAGGCGGCGUGGAAAGUUGGGUGUGAAAUCCCUCGCUUAACCGAGGAACUGCGCCCAAAACUACCAUGCUCGAGGAAGAUAGAGGUGAGCGGAACUUACGGUGGAGCGGUGAAAUGCGUUGAUAUCGUAAGGAACACCCGUGGCGAAAGCGGCUCACUGGGUCUUUUCUGACGCUGAUGCACGAAAGCUAGGGGAGCAAACGGG